GCUCACAGCGGGCAGUUUACUUUCCAGCUCGCUUAUUCGGUACAACACAUCUGUCACGAGAUCUCUUGGGUAUGUCCUCAGUUCUGAUUCAACUUUUUGAUGAAUUCUUAAUAUUUUCACUCUGACAAUAACACUUACUCUUUAUGAGAAUGAGUCCUACAUGAAAAAUCUUAUCCAACACAUCCAGAAAACAUCAGAGACAAAGGCUGACAAUGAUAACAGGAAGAUCUGGGAAGAGGAACAGCAGAUAUCACACAGUUCUACAGCAAUGGGAAACAAUGGUCUAUAUCCAUGCUCACAGGAUUGGUUGCUCAAGUCUCCUGUCCUUUCUUCCUCAGUCAAGGCCGGGUCAGUGCUGAAGUUUUGUAAGUAUCUUUUCACAGGAGAACACAAGAUCCACAUGACCGUCUAUUUUCUCCCAACAAAGCAACAUUGAAAUCCGUCAUCUGCAACUCAUGAUCACCCUGGAAUAGGGUGAGUAAUGUAAUCCCCCUCAAGAAACACUUCUUUCAAGCAGAGCUGUGGAUGCUGUUGAGCGUAGUAGGCUUUAUUUUAUUUUUUUUAACACAGAUUAAUUAUUUAUUUAUUUGAACUUAAUAUUUUGAUUUUAGCCGUGGUUCAAUUUCAGCAAAUGCAUCUUCGGCCUUAACAGAAUGCAGAUGACAUCAACUCACAAUUAGGGAGUACAUAUAUACCCACCCACUCAAAUGACCUGAUCUUUCAAUCACAACAUGGCUAAGUCUAUUAAAGAUUAAUAUGACCGCAAGAACACUUAUAAAACUGCACAAUGACAUGUACGUAAACACUCACCUUAUCAAUUUUCUUUAUACAUCUCCAGCAUAAUUGAUGGUUUAUGAUGAGUAGCUUGGAGCUUGCUGGACCAGAAAAGACCAGAUCUAAUUUUCUUCUUAAUCUUGUGCAACUUCUAGCAGUCUAACUCAAAGUCUCAGCCCAGCUAGGAGAGUAAGGCACUCCAUAAAUCUGCACAGGCCAGGCCUUCACUGGUCAGGAACGUCAUGGGAGUGUCAGGCUGGUCUCCGCUGGGGUUUUUGGGGCAGGAUUAUGGAUUGAGACACAGCUGAGAGGCUAAACUUACACUUUUCAUUCCAACUUCAAGGGGGUCUCGAUACAUCCUAGGAGCCAGAUUCUUUCAUUUUGCCCCAUUAAUGAAUGGACCUUUAAGUACUGUUUUUUUUCAAUGGUUAUUUUAUGAUGUGCAGUUGAAAAUUAAAAUCUCCCUGAGAAAUAAAACUAAAAAUAACAGUUGCUGUUUUUUUUUAGAAAAAAUUGUGUGCAAGACGAUAGAAGGAAGGAGACAUGGUAUGCUUAAAACACCUUAUUCGCCAGUGUAAAGAGAGAGCAGUAUGCCCCCUUCUGGCUCUCUUCUUUUCUCACUUAUCCUUUCUUCUCUGUCUUUUUUUUUCCUUUCCGUAUUUUGAAAUGUGAGUUAUCUUUUGAUCUGCUCUGACUGAGCGAAGGUCUUAGGAUUUGUGAGAGUGACUGCUGACUGAUUUAGAGGGACAAAAAAUCUC
rnacentral:lncRNA from 12 species